rnacentral:misc_RNA from 1 species
AUAAUUUCAGAAUUCUUGAUUGAUUUGGGUUGUGUCUGAGUCCACUGUUAAGUCAUGCCUACAAAGAAAAGUGCGCAAGUUUUGUGUGAUAGCUAGCAAUGAUUCACGAAAGAGGAAAACCCGUGAAACAUCUCAUCACUUUUUGAUGGUCUAAUUACAAUGGUUCUUGUCCCUCUUCUAUCACUUCUUUUCCUGUUUCUACAUGGAAGGAGGAUUCUGUAGGCCAUUUCUUGAGUGUUUACCGUUUAUUGACCCAAAAUGGAAGGAUCUUUUCUCUACACACACA